UACGUAGGGUGCGAGCGUUAAUCGGAAUUACUGGGCGUAAAGCGUGCGCAGGCGGUUUUGUAAGCCAGAUGUGAAAUCCCCGGGCUUAACCUGGGAAUGGCAUUUGGGACUGCAAGGCUGGAGUUUGGCAGAGGAGACUGGAAUUCCUGGUGUAGCAGUGAAAUGCGUAGAUAUUGGGAAGAACACCAGUGGCGAAAGCGGACUUCUGGGUUGUUACUGACGCUGAGGUACGAAAGCGUGGGGAGCAAACGGG
rnacentral:rRNA from 1 species